UCUGUAAAGGCACACACUCAUUUCAAAUGUCAAUCCACUGAAACACGGCACGUCAAGGCGUUGUUCAUUAAUUUAUUAUUUAACAAAAAGCAAAGUUUAGUAAAAAAAUUCUGCAGUAAUGUUUUAAAAAUUGUUUUAAACCCUUUGUAAAGGGUUUGCCUUACCUAAAUGAAUAGUUCGUAGAACUACAAAAUGAGUUUCAAAUUCACGAUUGAAUAAUAAUGUAAUAUAAUGCAAUAUAAUUUAAUGACAUUUUAAAUUGUUUAUGUAGUGUUUUAAUUCAAGAUGCUUAUUUAAGUGCUGCGUGACGUGUUUAUAAUGGGCGUGCGCUGCUGCGCGCUGAGUUGCCAUGGAAACGGGCCAGCAACACCAACUGACAAGUUUAAGAACUCCGUCUUUCACUGUUAUUUUCACUGCUUUCAGAAAUGGUUCCGGAGUCUUCGAAAAAGUCCGUUAAGUUAGCAUCUCAACCGUUUUCCGAAGAGAUUCUUCCAUGCUGAUGGCCGUGCAGCAGAAUUGGAGCGGAACUCAAUCAUACACUAAUGUUCAAAAGUUUGAGGAUCCUACCCAGCCCCAAUCAUUUAUCAGAAGGACUGUGAAAACGGGAAGUGUUUAAACCACCAGUGGUGGUUUCCACAGGAUAGUAGUGGAUGAGAGGGGUACUGACAUUAAAGGAUUAGUUCACUUUCAAAUUAAAAUUUCCUGAUAAUUUACUCACCCCCAUGUCAUCCAAGAUCUCCAUGACCUUCUCUCU